CCUACGGGUGGCAGCAGUGAGGAAUAUUGGUCAAUGGGCGGAAGCCUGAACCAGCCAAGUCGCGUGAGGGAUUAAGGCCCUGCGGGUCGUAAACCUCUUUUGCCGGGGAGCAGUGGUCCGGACGUGUCCGGGCCGGGAGAGUACCCGGAGAAAAAGCAUCGGCUAACUCCGUGCCAGCAGUCGCGGUAAUACGGAGGAUGCGAGCGUUAUCCGGAUUUAUUGGGUUUAAGGGGUGCGUAGGCGGGCAUUUAAGCCGGCGGUCAAAUUUCGGGGCUCAACCCCGGCCUGCCGUCGGAACUGGGUGCCUUGAGUGGGCGAGAAGUAUGCGGAAUGCGUGGGGUAGCGGUGAAAUGCAUAGAUAUCACGCAGAACCCCGAUUGCGAAGGCAGCAUACCGGCGCCCUACUGACGCUGAGGCACGAAAGUGCGGGUAUCGAACAGGAUUAGAUACCCCUGUAGUC
rnacentral:rRNA from 1 species